ACUCCUACGGGAGGCAGCAGUCGGGAAUUUUGCGCAAUGGACGAAAGUCUGACGCAGCAACGCCGCGUGAGGGAUGAAGGCCUUCGGGUUGUAAACCUCUUUUCUCAGGGAGAUAAUGACGGUACCUGAGGAAUAAGCCACGGCUAACUACGUGCCAGCAGCCGCGGUAAUACGUAGGAGGCGAGCGUUAUCCGGAUUUACUGGGCG
rnacentral:rRNA from 1 species